UUAUGUUAAAAGCAAUGGUGUGGAAGUGGACAUUGAAGCAUAGGCGCUAACCAUGUGCAGUCAGCACUGGCUGUGAAAAUCUCAUGUGGCCGCUUUACCAGCUGGAAUAGAUUUCACAUGCGCAGACGCAGGUACAUCUGAAGUUAAUCAAGCUUUUUAUUCCUGCAUUCCAUGACCUGUGGACAGAGGACUGCCUUCUGGACUCACACUCUCUUUGCCCAGGAUCUGUUGUUCCUGAAUAGGAGACAGGAGCAGGAUCUCUGGGAAGAAGCUGUCCCAUUCCUUUUGUCACCUCUCACCAGCCUCCAGCUGCCUCCUCCUCCUCCCCUCACCUAGUUUCCUGGUUGGAGGC